CGAACGCUGGCGGCAGGCUAACCAUGCAAGUCGAGCGCGCCUUCGGGUGAGCGGCGGACGGGUUAGUAACGCGUGGGAACGUGCCCUUCUCUACGGAAUAGCCUCUGGAAACGGAGAGUAAUACCGUAUACGCCCUUUGGGGGAAAGAUUUAUCGGAGAAGGAUCGGCCCGCGUUAGAUUAGGUAGUUGGUGGGGUAACGGCCUACCAAGCCUACGAUCUAUAGCUGGUUUUAGAGGAUGAUCAGCAACACUGGGACUGAGACACGGCCCAGACUCCUACGGGAGGCAGCAGUGGGGAAUCUUAGACAAUGGGGGCAACCCUGAUCUAGCCAUGCCGCGUGAGUGAUGAAGGCCUUAGGGUCGUAAAGCUCUUUCGCCUGUGAUGAUAAUGACAGUAGCAGGUAAAGAAACCCCGGCUAACUCCGUGCCAGCAGCCGCGGUAAUACGGAGGGGGUUAGCGUUGUUCGGAAUUACUGGGCGUAAAGCGCGCGUAGGCGGAUUAGAAAGUUGGGGGUGAAAUCCCGGGGCUCAACCCCGGAACUGCCUCCAAAACUGCUAGUCUAGAGUUCGAGAGAGGUGAGUGGAAUUCCGAGUGUAGAGGUGAAAUUCGUAGAUAUCCGGAGGAACACCAGUGGCGAAUGCGGCUCACUGGCUCGAUACUGACGCUGAAGUGCGA
rnacentral:rRNA from 1 species